rnacentral:rRNA from 1 species
ACAGCAGUCGCCACGGUAAUACGUAGGGUGCGAGCGUUAAUCGGAAUUACUGGGCGUAAAGCGUGCGCAGGCGGUUCGUUAAGACAGAUGUGAAAUCCCCGGGCUUAACCUGGGAACUGCAUUUGUGACUGGCGAGCUAGAGUAUGGCAGAGGGGGGUAGAAUUCCACGUGUAGCGGUGAAAUGCGUAGAGAUGUGGAGGAAUACCGAUGGCGAAGGCAGCCCCCUGGGCCAAUACUGACGCUCAUGCACGAAAGCGUGGGGAGCAAACAGGAUUAGAUACCCCAGUAGUCCCUGUCUCUUAUAC